GCUCUCCUAGGCAGACUGCCUACCACGGCUGACGAGCUCCACCUGCCCGGGUUUAUUGUUCGGAGUUUGCUCUCCUAGGUGUAUUACCUAUGACGGCUCACGAGCCCAACCUGCCCGGGUUUAUUGUUCGGAGUUUGCUCUCCUAGGUGAACUGCUUUCGCUAACGACCUCCACCUGCCCGGGUUUGUAAUCGGAGUUUGCUCUCCUAGGUGAAUUGCUUUCGCUAACGACCUCCACCUGCCCGGGUUUGCAAUCGGAGUUUGCUCUCCUAGGUGAACUGCUUUCGCUAACGACCUCCACCUGCCCGGGUUUGUAAUCGGAGUUUGCUCUCCUAGGUGAAUUGCUUUCGCUAACGACCUCCACCUGCCCGGGUUUGUAAUCGGAGUUUGCUCUCCUAGAUGAACUGCUUUCGCUAACGACCUCCACCUGCCCGGGUUUAUUGUUCGGAGUUUGCUCUCCUAGGUGUAUUACCUAUGACGGCUCACGAGCCCAACCUGCCCGGGUUUAUUGUUCGGAGUUUGCUCUCCUAGGUGAAUUGCCU